rnacentral:sRNA from 1 species
AUAUUAGGAUAAGGUUGCGGUUUAAGUUCUUAUACUCAAUCAUACACAUGACAUCAAUUUAUAUUCGACUCCAAAACACUAACCAAGCGUCUUCGUGCUUCUCAAAGCUUUGAUGGUUUAGCCAAAGUCCAUAUGAGUCUUUAUCUUUGUAUCUUCUACGAAGGAAACACUACUUAGGCCUUUAGGAUAAGGUUGCGGUUUAAGUUCUUAUAAUCAAUCAUACACAUGACAUCAAGUCAUAUUUGACUCCAAAACAAUAACCAAGCUUCUUCGUGCUUCUCAAAGCUUUGAUAGUUUAGCCAAAGUCCAUAUGAGUCUUUGUCUUUGUAUCUUCUAACAAGGAAACACUACUUAGGCUUUUAGGAUAUGGUUAUUGUUUAAGUUCUUAUACUCAAUCAUACACAUGACAUCAAGUCAUAUUCGACUCCAAAACACUAAUCAAGCUUCUUCUUGCUUCUCAAAGCUUUGAUGAUUUAGCUGAAGUCCAUAUGAGUCUUUAUCUUUGUAUCUUCUAACAAGGACACACUACUUAGGCUUUUACGAUAAGGUUGCAGUUUAAGUUCUUAUACUCAAUCAUACACAUCACAUCAAGUCAUAUUCGACUCCAAAACACUAACCAAGCUUCUUUGCUUCUCAAAGCUUUGAUGGUUUAGCCGAAGUCCAUAUGAGUCGUUGUAUUUGUAUCUUCUAACAAGGAAACACUACUUAGGCUUUCAGGAUAAGAUUGUUGUUUAAGUUCUUAUACUCAAUCAUACACAUGACAUAAAGUCAUAUUGAUAGUAGGAUUUUUGUCAAUUAAUCCCUAAAACACUAUCUUGUUGUUGUAGUAUUUUAGGAUGUCAAUCCAAUCCGGUGUGAUGCAAACUGAUGAGAUAUGAUCAGAAAGCUCUAAGUCAAGCCAAGCAGAAAGUUGGUUGGUUCUAACAGUCCUAGUAUGCAAUAACAGAAAUGAAGUGAAACUAAAAGCAGGAAUGGCAAUAGCAGGCAAGUGAAUGACAAAGCAGAAAUGAUAACAGGCAAUCAAAUGGAUAAACGAUUCCUAAGGAUGGGGUAAUCGAAUAGUGUGGUCUACUUAAUCUAUUCAGGCGGCUGACAAAACUUCACAGAAGCUAUCCCUAGACAACAAGUUCAACAACAGAUUAAUUCACUCCCGUGAUAGAAAUCCUCAAGCAAAGCUAGACACUGACCUAAAUCCCUUUAGCGAUCUCUAACUAAGCAGGCAUUAUCGAAUCAACAUGUUAAAGUCAAUACCCUCUCUACAGCCAAUCCCUUGGGGUAGAGUCAGAUAUCUCUGGAAUUAAUAGGAUCCAACGCCCAUUAAACGCCUUCUGAGCGCUGGACGUCUGGACUCAUACUCCACAUUAGCCAGUGAAAUAAGCAAUAAGCGCAACUAAUCCAGAAGGGAUUCUAGUAUUCUAAACUCAACCACCUAAAACGACCAAGUAAACCACAACUAUUCUAUCCCAUCCUCAGAAAUACAGUUCACUACUCAGACAUAAUCAAAGACAAUAACAAAGCAACAAUUGAAAACAUGAUAACAGAAAUGACGAAAGACUUAAACGAAAACUGAAUAUCAAAUACUUGAAAACGAAACUACAAAGUCGCAGGAGAAACACUGCGGCUAUCAAAGUUGCGAAAAUGUAAAAGCGAAAUAAAAAGGGAUAAUAGCGGAUCCUAGCCGACGCCCUAGGAAAACCCUAAGAGGUAGUUUAUAUAAGCGAAAAAAUGAAACAAAUAAGGAAACUAAAUAUAUAGCGAAUCUUCACGUCAUGAUCCUGCGACCGAAUGUGUCAUUGGCAUCUGAUGGGCUGAAAUGAGCUUCCUAGUGAUCGAGUAUGUCAUUGAUCAAACUGGGCUUCAGGGGCUCCGUCUUGCGAUCGAGUGAAAUGCAGUGAAGUCGAGAUUGAAUGGUCCAGCGACCUUGUGAUCGAGUGCGAUCGAGUGGAUGUCAUGAGGGUGUGAUCGAGUGGUUUUGAUGGGGUGAUUCCUCCGGCUUCGCGAUUGAGUGAAACUGAGCUGUUUGCUUCUCCGGGGUUGCGAUAGAGUGAUUUGCCCUGGCAGGGCUCCGAGGCUGCGAUAGAGUACUUUUGCUGAAGGCGUCAUUGGGCAUUCUGACUUCAUGUUCUGUUUUUCCUCUGCUUGAACUCCAAAAGCAUCCAAAGUACCUGAAAACACCCAAAUAUGCCAUGCACAUGCAAUCCUAAUGCAAAAUCGUCCAAAGUAUGUAAAACACACUAAAACGACUCCUAAUGAGAUGAAAUGUGGAUGAAACAAUGACAAAGUGGUGAAGAAUGAAUGCCUAAAUCAUGCAAAUUAUAGACAUAUCAACUCCCCCAAACUUAGUCUUUGCUUGCCCUCAAGCAAACAAGAAGACAUAAGCAGAAGGAGAGGUUUGAAGUUGGGGAUUCAGAACCAAAGCAUGAGAUAUGACAAUUAAGAUCAAUGUACCAGCUAACAGUUCUAAGAUGCGAGGUGAUCGACUUCUACUCAAAAACUUUAGCCAUGCUCUGUUAUGAUCCAAACCUACACUCAAAUGCACAAUGCGUCAAGAUCAACCAAUCCCUUUAACAUUCAUUAAGUUCAAAAACAUGAAUCAAGAUAUGCAUCGCUAGUGAACUCAUUUGGCUAAUGACAGGUUAUGAGACAAAGAUGGUCCCUUUUUAGUGGUUCAGAUUUUAAUAGCAGGGGACUCUCAAUAAAAAGGAUUGAGCUUUAGAAGAAUGCUAAAGGUAAGUGCCAACCUAUGCAUACAAGAAUAGCACCCCAUCUACCCAAUGACAUAAACCGUGAAUAACAAGUAGAUGGUCCUAUCUCUAAACCCAAUGAUGAUCCUAAGUCUACCCUUUUGCACUAAAGGCAUAUUUCGAUUUUUUCUUGGAUCAACGUUUCCUUUUCUUUUCUUUGGCUCUUGUUCUUAAGGAGAAGCUUUUCUUAAACUCUAUGAGUCUAGUCUAGUGAGUUGGGUUUUUCUUAAACUCUUAUGGCUCUUAUCAUUUCUUUUCUGUUUUUUUUUUUUUUU